rnacentral:rRNA from 1 species
GACGAACGCUGGCGGCGUGCUUAACACAUGCAAGUCGAACGGAAAGGCCCUGCUUUUGUGGGGUGCUCGAGUGGCGAACGGGUGAGUAACACGUGAGUAACCUGCCCUUGACUUUGGGAUAACUUCAGGAAACUGGGGCUACUACCGGAUAGGAGCUCCUGCUGCAUGGUGGGGGUUGGAAAGUUUCGGCGGUUGGGGAUGGACUCGCGGCUUAUCAGCUUGUUGGUGGGGUAGUGGCUUACCAAGGCUUUGACGGGUAGCCGGCCUGUGAGGGUGACCGGCCACAUUGGGACUGAGAUACGGCCCAGACUCCUACGGGAGGCAGCAGUGGGGAAUAUUGCACAAUGGGCGGAAGCCUGAUGCAGCAACGCCGCGUGCGGGAUGACGGCCUGCGGGUUGUAAACCGCUUUCGCCUGUGACGAAGCGUGAGUGACGGUAAUGGGUAAAGAAGCACCGGCUAACUACGUG